rnacentral:lncRNA from 1 species
AUCACCCAGAUCUGCAGUCUACUUUAUGAGACCAAGAUAUCAACUUCUUGUGGCCAUGCUAUGGAGAUUGCACAAUGGACCUAUUGCUUCAAAGGAGAGUCACACAACACUCCCCAGCCACUGUGUUGACAGCCCUGGGCUGGAGGAAAGGCAGCAGUCUUCACAGAGCUCACUUUACGGCUGGGCUCACCCUUCACCCCAAGACAGCUUUGAUCACUGGGAAGUUUCCACAAACACAGAAUGAAUGAGGAAGAAGGUGAUUAUAUUUUCGGUGUGAUCCACGUGGACGAGAGGUGUUGCAUGUUUUUACAAAUUGAAGAUCUGUGACAACCCUGGGUCAAGCAAGUCUAUCAGUGCCAUUCUUCCAACACUCUCCUGGGUGCAGUCAAAGCUUCACUCCCUACACCCUACUGAACUAUCAGCUGACUGAUUCCCACUUGUCCAUGCCCCAGGACCCCACAGAAGCUCCACAUGCUUCCACAAGCUGAUGCACCAGUUCCAAGAGGAGGAAGAAAAGCUGGCACUCAGCCUUUAUUUCUCCCCAAACACCACAGUCAUUCAAUUCUGAAAAAAAAAAAAAAAAAAAAACCCAUUGCUUUGAAAAACAUAAAAUGAGAUCUAUCAAACAGCAUCUUGUAUUUUAAAGUGGAAAGAAUGGACUUUGGAAUCAUCUUUGGCAGCUAAUAGGCUGGGACACGCAGAGAAAGAGCUUGCCUGCCUCUGCAGACAUUCCUUGGACGAGUGGUUCUAAAUCCCAGCUACACACUCAAAUAGCUGCAGGAGGUUUAAAAACUGUCAAAUCUCCCAGCCCCUGCCCAGCCCAGUCAAUAUUUAUCUCAGGAGGAGGAGCCCUAAAACCAGUGUCUUUUCACAGAGCUCCCUACAUGACUUUGAUGUGUGGCCAGGUGAUAUCUCCUGAGUUCGGAGACACUGAUGCUAUCACUCACACCUAGUCAAAUGAGAGGAGUCGGGGAUGACAGAAGAAUGCAGGCAACUUACCUACCUGAAGCUGGGGCCUCAAGGUCACCAUGCCCUUGAGUGAGCCCUGUAUGGGUCUACCUUGUGUCUGAUGGUUCUCAGCAGGCACAGCUUCUCUUCAGGGCUUCUGCCGACAUCUUCCCUGCAUGUGGAAAAUGGCCUGGGGUCCCCUUAGACUCAGCUCAUGUCCUCCCCUUUGCUCAGGUUCCCUCUGAGUCCCGGUACCCGCCCAUGCUGCAGACCUCCUCAUGACUCCUUCCUCCCUGAGGCCUGGCCAUCUGCACACCCCCAUCCUAUCCUGUCAGCUUGUUUUUUGUCUCUUUGGUGACCAGACAUGAACCCCUCAAGGCUGUUCCCUCCACAUCCCCAGCGCUCAGUUUCAGGCCAGCCCAGGGCAGGAUGCACCUCGUGCAGACCAAGGGAAAGAGCCAGCAGCUGCUUCACAUGAGCCUGUCCUCUGCACCUGAAGAGAAUCUUUGGAAGGCCAGCGCCCCCACUUGUCCUGAAGGUGGAGGGGCUGUUCCCUCUAGCCCACACCUGUCAUUCUAGGACUAACUUUCACUUUUUGGAAGCCAGAGCCACUCCCGACCAUUCAGGGCCUUUCAGCAUUCGGAAGGGACAGUGACUCCUCCUUAGAUACCACAUGUAGGACAGGAGGGAAGUUCAAGAGUGGUGUCAAGGGCCAGAGACAGGGAAGCUGGGGGGUCUGAAAGAAGCUUCCAGGAGAUGUCUUCACUGCAAAAUACCAUACACCAAGGGGCUACAGGCUAAAACAAGACAUGUAUUUCUCACAGUUCUGGAGGUUGGGUGUUGGGGAUUAAGGUGCCAGCCAGCAUGGUGGGUCCCUGGUGAGGACUCUCUUCCUGGCUCACAGGUAGCCGACUUCUCACUGUGUCCUCACAUGUGGGAAAGAAAGCUCUGGUCUCUUCAUCCCCUCGUAAGGACUAAUCCCAUCAUGGAGGCACCACCUUCAUGACCCCAUCUAACCGUAAUUACCUUCUAAAGGCACCACCUCCCAUAAUAUCACCCUGGGGCUUGGGGCUUCAACAUAUGGAUUUGGGGGAACACAGACAUUCAGUCCAUAGCAAGGCACAUGGGGAAGUUGGAGCAUGAGAGCAGAGGAGACACCCACACAUCUCAGGAGAGCAGUCACGUGUUCGGAGGAUGUCAAGCCACGCUGAAGGCCCCUAGCCAUGCUGGGGAGAGCAUGCUCUAGCCAUGGAGUUGAAGAUGAGGUGGGAGUUGCCCUUGAGACCUUUCAUCUAGGACCUCCCAAGUUCCAUGAAGAGACAAGAGAAAACAGUAAGGGCACUGUAUUCAAGGGAAUGAGGGGUGAUGAGUCCCUCUUGGGUUCCUCAGUAAUGUCUUCCAGGACAGUCCAUUGAUUACACCUCUGCACCAGUCAGCGGACUUUUAGUGAGCCCUGGUAAUGUGCCAGAUGCUGUGCUGUGAGUGAGAUGUGCACAUUUCCUUCCUCGUGGAGCUCACACUCUCAUGGGGCAGACACACAAUCACACAAUCGCACACAUGUGCAGUGUGCAGAGCCUCCCUACAGGCUGGCCCGUGCCUUCCAGCUGCAUUCACCUGAUAGGAGGGCCAGCUGGAGACCAGAGGCUGGAGGCAGCCAGGGAGGAAUGUGGGCACUGGUUUUCUGACUCCCUGCCCGCUGCAUUCUCUGCAGCAGGCCCAGUUCCCGCCCAGCCCCCAUGCUGCACAAGGUUCUGAGAAUCACUCCUGCCCCCACUCCAUCAGGUCCCACUUAAGGUAGCUCCACUGGCUUAGAGGACCACCCCACCCCAGGGGCUUCACCUAAACCAGUCACACUUUGUAGACAGUCCCCUCAUUGAACUCUGAUCAAAUUACCCAAUUUAAAUAUACCAUCUGUUUCCCGCAGGGACUCUGACUGACCCAGUGACCUAGUCUAGGAGGUUAGGGAGUCUUCUGAGAAAAGGAUGCUUGAGCUGAACUCUGAAGGAUUAAAUUCUCACUGCUUUUAAUAGUAGGAUCCAACAUGUGUGUUUAGUCAGUAGUGGGGGUCCUGGUAAGCUUGAGCCUGCAGUGAGGGGUGCUGCAGGGGACACAGGCGAACCCAUGAAGCCCCUCACCCCACCUCUUAGCCAUGCCUGGCCAGGGAGGGCAUCCCUAGACCCAGGCUCAGCUAUAAGAAAGAGCAAGAACCAACAAACAUUUCUUAAGCACCACUCCGGGGCCAGGCCGUGUGCUGGGCCUGAACGCUUCUCAUAGGUGACGUGGAGACCUGGGGGUGGCUGCCAUCUGGUGCUCUGGGUUUUGAGGGGUGCUCUCUGAAAGACCAAGCUGAGCAGCAGGAGGCCCAGAAAUGGGGGCUCCCAUUAGACAUUGUGGCCAGUCUCACAGCACAGCCAGAAGGGCCAGCACUGCAGGGAGGGGAGCAGAGGGGAGGAUGUGCUCUUUGGCCAGGCGAAAGCCUGGUCCCCAGGACUGAGGUCCUAGAGAAUCAGGGAUGCAGGAGAAUGAUGAAGAGAGAGGUCUCAAGGCCAAAGACAAUAAGGUGAACUGUCAGAAAGUCUGGGAGAAAGAUGAUUUGAGGGUGACCCGAGAGGCUUGCUGUCAAAUGUCCCAAGAUCGGACAGUCGAGCAAGGCAGCAUGAUGGAAGGAAUCUAGCCCUGUCCAUCCACAUAAGCCCAAUUGCAAGUGCACUGUUGGAGUCAUGAAAAAUGUAAUGUCUAGUUCUGGUGUGAGCAGGGCCACUCUCUUCCAAAGAUACUCCCAUGGGAACAGAAAAAAAGGGUAGAAGCCCGAAGAGCCAUAAAAGGCAGCAAGGUCAGGAAGCCACCAGAAUGUCAGUGAGAUGUUUAAUUUUGAAAAUCAAUUAAUGUAAUGUGUCAUAUCAACAGAUCGAAGGGAGAAAGUCCAUGCUCAGGUUUAUAGAUGCAAAGAUCUGUUUGAUAAAAUUCAACAUCCACUCAUGACUUAAUAAAGAAACAAAACCUAUGGCAAAUCACAUGUAAAAGUGUUUAAGAUAUUCCCUUUAAUAUCAGAAAAGUGGCAAGAAUGCCUUCUUUUAUCUUUUCAAUGCUGUAAUGCAUUAAAGGGCUUAGGCAGUGCAAUAAGAAGAAAAAAGAAAUAAAAGAGAGAUUGGAAAGCAAUAAUCAAAGCUGUCAUUAUUUGAGGCAGAUAGAUAAUUGAAAGUACCUCUGAUUGGUUGCAGCAGACAAUCAGAUGUUUGCAUAGAGUAAGUUUGUAACUUCAGCCUCUGGUUGCUUUCCAAAACAAUUAGACUGAUUGCCGGCCACCACUUCAUUUACAUGGGGUGAACACCAAGUGGCCAAUGGGAAACCUCUAGGGGAUAUUUGGACCCCGGAAGAUACUGUAACCGAGGCCCUUGAGCUGCUGCUCUGGCCCACUCCCACCCUGUGGCAUGUACUUUCAUUUUCAAUAAAUUUCUACUUUUGCUGCUUCAGUCUUUCCUUGCUUUGCUGUGUGUUUUGUUCAAUUCUUUGUUCAAAACACCAAGAACCUAGACAACUUGCAGUCGAUACCCUCUACAGUUAACAAGCUGGGGAAUGCUCCUUCCAGGGUCCCAAGGUCCUUGCCUGGCUGAGCUUCUGGUGGCUGCCAGCAUUCCUCGGCUUGUGGCCGCAUCACUCCAUUCUCCAUCUCCAUGGUCACAUCACUUCUUUUCUGUCUGUUUUCAGCCUCCCUCUGCCUCUCUUAUAAAGACAUUUGUGAUGCAUUUAGGGCAUACCUGGUUACUACAGGAUAAUCCCCCUUAUCAAACUCCUUAACCUAAUCACAUCUGGAAUACAUUGUUUUUGCCUAGAAAUUCAUAUUCACAGGUUGCAGGGGUUAGGACCUUCUCAGGCACCAAAUGAUAAGAAAUCAUCUUUCUGAGUAACCCACAUGGAGUGGCC